CAUACUUAUUUUGCGUACGGUCUUUAUUUGUGUUCUGUUGCAUACUGUUGUAUUUCUGCGAUGUAUAUUCGAGUGGAAUGAUAUGGUUCAUGAAUUGCGAAGUUUUAUAAAAGCUAAUUUUCAACAGUGUCGUGUUCUUUGGAAAGUGCGAGUAUCUAACAGUGUAUUGUCACCAAGAGAGUCCCACACUUAUUCUGUUAACAUUUGCAAGGAAGCCCCACACCAAAAGAACAAAAGUAAAUUUGGACAUUCAUGGCAACUGAACCAACGGAUGUGGAGUCAUUGAUUAGAUGUCGAAAAUGAGAUUCUGAAGACAAACUAUUAAACAAAUUACAUUGCAUCUUGAUAUUGAGAACAGAAUGAUAGAAAUAAUAGAACAGUUUCAACUGAUAUGUUAAAGAAAAACUGGG